AUCUAACAUCUGGUCUAUUUUUAGAUUUCACAGAGGAAUCUGCUUAAUAUAUAUAAUGACUCAUGAGAUGGGGGAAAUCCCCAUAAGGGUGUUACAUAUGCAUUCAGAAAGCUCCUGAGAAUAAGGAGGAUUUAUUGGUCAUGGGGGGGCGGGGACUAAUACAACCACUAUAGUCUGCAGCAUCACCUGGGAUCAGUAAUGUGGGACAGAAAAUCUUCCAGUGCUUCAUUUUUUCUGUGGAAAAUGUUCUGCUUCAUAGAUUAAUUAGUAACUGUGAAUGUCAAUUACAAGUAAGUGUUAGACAAGCUGGCAAUUUCAUUCCCCCCCCCCCUUUACAAGCUAAAUUAGAUCACUAUAAGGCAUUUCUGAUUUCUCUAAGUGAGCCAGUUCAAAUUUUCUGGAAAACGCACAUCACUGCCCGUGAUCAUUCUUUAGACGCUGCCAUCUCCUUCAAAAGAUUCAAGGUUUACAAAAGAAAAGAAACUUUAUUGUGGGUUUUGUAAUAUAAAAUUUAGGCAAAUGGCUGCAUAGUAAGCUACCCCAUUGGAUUCCAGUCUGCAGCAUAUUGUGAAAGGAUUCAUAUAUCCUAGUAGAAGCUUUAAGUUUUGCAUCAAUAUGACAAAAAAUUCUAAUCUCAGUGAUGAGAAGAUGUAUAAUCUCUUGGACCUUUUCCAAUUUUAUUUGAACAUAUAUUAAAAGGUUCUGUCACAUUUUGAAAGAUGCACCCAGCCCCAGCCCCGAUCACUGGCAUUGACUACCUCCGCCCCAGAGCGCUUCUCACACACCCUUUGUUGCCCAACCAUCACAACAGCUCUGCUGCCAAUGGGUCUAACUCUCCAGGAAUUGCUGCCACCACCCUCCCACUUACUCCUGCAGUCCUAGGAGAGAGAACCUGGAGUGCACUAAAGCAAUUAUUUUUUAAAGGGUUCUGGACUAAUGCCCCUGCACUCCUCAGCUCAAUCUGUACCUUUGCUUACCUGCCAUGGAACAGCUGUAAUGUUUGAUGUUUUACUGUUAGAUAUUUUAAUUUGUUAGAAGCUGCCCAGAGUGGCAGGGGCAACCUUGUCAGAUGAGUGGCAUAUAAAUUGUUGUUGUUGUUGUUGUUGUUAUACCUGUGUAGGGAAAUCAUAUAUGGAAUGACCUUAAUCAUUGUAAUAAUUUCUCCUUAACAUCUGAAUCAGGAGAGUUCAUGGACCAGUGCUUGGAGUGGUGAGAUGGAUGAGGAAAAACAAAUAGAGCUGAAUCCUAGCAAAACAUAGGCACUACGGGUAGAGUGAUUCUCAUACCUGAGAAACAGCAGCCCCUCCAGCUCCCUGAAAAUAAGGAGAGAAUGGGAUCCCUGAAAUUGAGUGGAGGCAACUUCUACUAUGCCAGCUUCUAAUAAUCAGUGAAAUUUUUCAGGGACCAGUGUGGGGGAGACAUGGUGUGAAAGUGCUAAGGAAGGAGAGGUAGGUUCGGUUCUCAGUAGCAGGAAAGACAGCAUUCCAUUGACUUCAAGACUGAUUUUUUAAAAGGUUUUCAGUUAUCACUUUGGAAGCAUUUCACAACAAAAAAAAUUAUAAAGCCUUCCAGCUAGCCCUUUUUAAGAAAUGACUUGAAGGAGACACAAAUAUCUUACUCAUUAUACACUUUCCAGGCAUUGCAGCCAUACUGAGACAUCAACUCCAAAUUCUCAAUUCGGACUGCCUGGUGCUCCAGCUGAGCCAUUGAGUUAUUAACACAUUCUUGCCAUGCUGUGAUGUCAUUCUUCUGCCCAGAGGAUGGUGCAGGAAGCUCAUAUCUGUGAAGAAAACAAGAGAAAUUAUAGUUCAGGAACAACAGUUUAGAUGGUUUGAAGUUUAAGAAAGUCAUUGCACUGAUCAUGUCCAUGACUAAUUUUUAUCAGUGAAAUAGAUGUGUAUCAAAAGCGUUCAAUAGCUCAAUAAACGCUAAAGGCUAUUUAAAAUA